AGCACCUUUUAAGGACAGUCCAGUGAGGCUGAGAAGGGGAUCGAUGUAAAACCAGGGAUCAUCGAAGGAAAAGCUGUUAUCGAUGGUUCCCCCUGCAUAUCCGCAGGAAAUGUUCAGGCAAAAAACUCCUUCUCCCCACGAGAAGGAGUUUUUUUGU
rfam:Clostridium ultunense Esp genomic scaffold, CTLT_3033